rnacentral:rRNA from 1 species
UACGUAGGGGGCAAGCGUUGUCCGGAUUUAUUGGGCGUAAAGAGCGUGUAGGCGGUUUGGUAGGUCCGUUGUGAAAACUCGAGGCUCAACCUCGAGACGCCGAUGGAAACCAUCAGACUAGAGUCCGGAAGAGGAGAGUGGAAUUCCUGGUGUAGCGGUGAAAUGCGCAGAUAUCAGGAAGAACACCCGUGGCUAAGGCGGCUCUCUGGGACGGUACUGACGCUGAGACGCGAAAGCGUGGGGAGCGAACAGG